CGUGCUCCCAGUCGACGGGGAGCCUGUUUGAGUGCUGGUCACAUAACAGAGAAAAACUUAAAACCAAUUCGGAGUAGAGAGAAUACAUUUAAUAACUUAUUUAGGUUAAAUUUACAGACUAAUGAUAUUAUUGUUAUGGAUUGGCUGACAUGCGAUAUAAAUUUAGCGAAGUAUAUGGUAAGUUUACGCUUUGGAAUGGAGAAAGUUGAGAAGUUGAUUUUACUUAUACGAUAGUUUUGCUGCUAAACUUAGUUGGAGUAACUAGAUGUUUUGCCUAAAGGCAUGAAUAAGACAGUCAUUUUUGGUAUUGGUUGUGUCAUUUAGAGAGAAAAGUUGCUGAAAGUUAUUGGUUUUGGUUUAGGUAACACCAGAGAAUUCGAACAAUAAGUAAACAUAUUCUAAACGUGAUCUGUUUUCAUUAUGAGGAACAAAGAACGACUCGCAACCUGGUAUGGCUGGCAGGGAGUUUUUAAAGGGACAGUACACGUUUAUCACAGUUGUGUUACAGGAAACAUCGGGGAAAUUUAAAACGAAUGAUUUAAGGGUAUUAUCAUAAUUAUUCGGUUUUGUUUUUGUGGUAAACGUUUGGGUUAAGGGGUUUUCCGUGUUUCCGAAAAACAAGAUAAUAUUAGGAGUUUUAUUUUCUGAGUUUUAUUUAGACAAGGGAUUUUUUAAGAUAAAGGGUUCUUUUGAUAUGUCUAGACAUGGGAUGGAACACGAAUGUAGGUGUAACUUUUUUGACCUAUUUUCGUUGCAUUUUCCUGUGAUUUGAUCACUCACAGGGAAAUGUAGUGAGAGUAAUGCAAUUGUGGUCAUUUGGGAAUACUAGUUUUGAGGUAAAUUGAUUAUAAUAGAGUUUAUAACUCUUGACCAUAAUUGUAGUUUUAACCACAGAGGAGUCAGGAUUCUGUUUUUAAACAUUGGCUAUGACGGUUUUGAAUGGGCUGUUAUUGAUUUGUUUUGAACAGUAGAUAUUUUAAGCCAAUAGGGCAGGAAAGUAUAUAAACAGAAAGGAUUUUAUAUUUUUAGCAUUUGUUUUGGCCAUUAGAAGAUUCUUAUUUAAAUAGUAUUAAAAUUGACAAGGGUAUAUGACAUAUGUGAUGAUUUAGGAUUAUUGAUAGGAUAGAGAUAGGUUUAUUGGCGUAAGGACUUUAGAGAUUGACACUAUAAGACAUGUUGUUAUUUUUAAAUCGAUGAUUUCAGAUAAAGUCAAAACAUUGAGACACUUAGUUAAUAUUGCUAAAGGAACACAUAGUUGUUAUUGACUGAGACCUUGAAGGUUUGAGAGCAGAGUGGGGAGGGGGGACCAGGAAAUGAGCAAGGUAGGCUGUAAAAUAAGAUAGGACAGAAGGGGGUUAACAUAUAUAAGCAGCACAGAUACAUUUUAAAGUAGAUAAGUCACUUGACAGAAUGGAUAGAUGAUGGUUCCAUUCUAGAUCCUUCCGGCCUGCCAACUGAGGGAGAACCCGGAAGAAUACUAGAUGCCUUGUAGCGUAGGACAAUGAAGACCGCGGCCGAAUGGAAGAACAUAAGAAUAUUUUACUAAUCUUACCUAAGUCAUUAUUUAGAGUAGGUAAGGUUGUUACCUGGCCAGAGCCAGGUAUCAAACGGGGGAGGGGUACAUUGUGGUCUAGGAUAGGAUGGGGCCUAUUGGAUAAUAAACUAAUUUAAAAAAAUAAAUAAUAAUAAUUCUAGCUAACAAAUCAAAACAAAUGAGAAACUGUUUGUUAACCAAACCUGUAUGUCCAAGAUUUUAUGCAUUACAGGUGAAUUAAAGGAGAAGGUGAUUCACCCGACCUGGGGGCAUAUCGCACUUGGAGGGUGAGACACACUGACACUGCCGAAUGAUCACAGAGUUAAGGAGAAGAACCGUUGCUAAUAGAGCUCGGGGAUCAACUCCUUAAUGAAGAUUUCCUUUUCCCGUCAUUCCAUCCCUGUGUUUGUUCAUAGAAGUGAAAGUGUUGCUUGGUCUCUGGCUUCUUGCUGAGGAUGUUUUCUCUGGGAGGGUGGGGCUUUACAGGAUUGCUUGUGGUCCUGAGUUGUCUGUUUAGGAUACGAUGGGGAUGUUACCAUCACAGUACUGCCAGAACCACCACCAGUUCCAACAGACCAGGUUCAGCCGGCCUCCUCCACCACUUCAAGACCAAGUCCCACACCACCACCUAAGCUCUCCAAUCUGGUACAGAAGUCCGUCCCCAGAAGACACCAUGGGGGUUAAGGCAUAUGGGGGAUAUUACAGCUGUAACACUGGUACAGGUAGAGGUAUGGACUAUGGGAGGUUCCCUACUGCUGCCUGCAUCACUAAUGUCACUUAACUAGAGGUGUUGCUGAUGUAUGGUGGAUGUGAGGACCUGCCAGGCGGUUGACCCCAUUUUGACAGGAGAUUAUCAGGGAACAUGUGAUUUGGCCAGUCUGAUAAACACCAUUGCCUAUUAUUGAGAUUACAGCUAACCAACUUUUGGGAGCUGCACAUGACAGAGGCUUGGGACCAACCCAGGAGACGGCAGAAACGUGACGCUCCUUGGUCCGAGGGUACAGAUAACAUCCACACCAACCUGUUGGGGUCUCAAUAGGGGUCCCCCACGAAUUCCAUACAUUAAACAGGAAUGAUGGCCUUUGGCAUUUAUUGCCCAUUAUUAACCCAGCUAUUGUUGAUGCUAAGCAGAAUGCCUGAAUCAAUUAUAUCUACUAUAAUCAACAAAGAUUUGUUAACUACACCCACACUGCACUUACAGGGAUAGCUGAACAAUUGGAUGCCACCUAUCGAACCAGUAGAUAAAAUAGACUAGCACUAGACAUGAUUCUGGCCAACCAGGGGGGUGUUUGUACAAUGUUUGGAGAACAAUGUUGCACGUUUAUCCCUAACAAUACCAGUCUGGAUGGGAGCAUUUCAAAAGAUCUGAGCGGGUUGGAAAAGUUAUCUGUGGAGAUGAGGGGUCUUGCAGGUGUGGAGGAGAGUGGACUGUUCUCCUGGCUGGGUGGUUGGUUUGGUGAGUACACUAUAUUCCCCUUGAUGGUUACUGGAUUUCUGACCCUAAUAAUUGUAUUUUGCUAUGUUAAUGUGUUGCGCUGCUUGCAUUUUACCUUGUGCCAAGAAAUCUAUUGCAGAUGCUGCUAAGGCCUCUGGCAUGAUGCCCCUGCUUGCAGCUAGUGGGGAGGAUGCUGAGACCAAUGAACAGAUGGGGUUGACUGAGGGUGACCCAUGGUUUGCUGUAAGAGGUUUAUUAAUAACACUGUUCUCCCUAAGAAGGUUAUAAGUUCCUGGGUGGUAACGAGCCCACCUAGUAUAUGGAAAAGGGAUGGAAUUUGUAUUGGUUGUGACACCUUACAGGUGUCAAACGGGGGAAUCAAAAAUAAAAAUGUCAAUCAAAAAUGUUUAAGUAAUAAAAAUGUCUAUGUUAAUCAAAAAUUGUUUAUGUUGACACCUAUAGGUGUCAAACGGGGGAUUGUGGGGUUUUUAUAAGGUUUUUGACAUGCUUAACUAACUAUUCUUAUGCAUUAAAGUUUGAAUUGCUGACUCUUGCUACUCUUACCAGUGCUCAGGGCCUAACCAUGAACAAUCAGCCUGAAAUGUGUGUGUGUUAGAGAGAGCGCUGUACUGUAUGAAAUAUGUGUGUGUAUGCAACAAAUGUAUCAGUAGUGUGGGCGCUGUACUGUGUGACCGGGACUGUGCUAAUCUUAGAGAGGCACAGGAGGGGGGUGAAUCAGGAGACUGCUGAAUAGACAAUAACAGAUAAACUAUACACACGAAAAACAUUUUUGAGGUUCUGAGUUAUGCACUAUAACCCAAUACUAUAACAAACGUGAUUAACAACUAUAUCAUAUGUGAUUGAAUAUUGUAUUGUAUGUGAUUGAAUACUAUAACAAAUGUGAUUUGAUAUUGACAAACUGUUUGGGCGCCUGGAUGUCUAUGUGUGUGCUGGAAGUAACAGUUAGCUCAGAUAAGAAGCUGGGAAGCUGUAGUUAGCCUUGAGCGAGAACAGAGGACAAUGCAUACAGGUGCAGAUAUCUCAGACAAUGUUAUAAAACUGUCUGACCUCAGUCUCUGGGGUGAAGGGGGGUAAUCUACACAGCAACAGCGUUGGGUUAUCAUAUGCGCUAAGGGGCCAGGACUGGCUUAAGGUGCCAGGACUGGCUUAAGGUGCCAACAUCAACGAUAGGCUGGGUGAGUCUAAACCACGCCCAGUCUCUACUCUGACAGGCCGGCUCGGAAGCGGGAAACAAUCUCUGUCACGAGUAUAAAAUAUUAUCUUUGUCAGAAACAAAUCAGUUCUCUGUCUUAUCCUGCGUGAUGAAACAUUGAACCCGUAUAUACGGAAAUUGUAUUUGCCAUUUAUUAACUUUUGAAUUAAACAAUUAUUUUAACCAA